CAAGGUCGCCGGGCGGCCGCUCCGAUUCGUCGGGGAGGAAAGUCCGAGCACCACUGGGCAAGAUGCCCGCUAACGGCGGGGCGGGGCGACUCGACGGAAAGUGCCACAGAAAACAUACCGUCCUCCCUCACAGGGGGAUAAGGGUGAAAUGGUGAGGUAAGAGCUCACCGCCUCGGUGGCAACAUCGAGGGCAGGGCAAACCCCAUCCGGUGCAAGGCCAAAUAGAGGGACCAUAGAUGCCCAGACUGUCCCCGGGUUGGCCGCUCGACCCUCUCGGCAACGGGAGGGCUAGAUAGAUGGUCGCCGCCUCGCGCUCCAUCGGGAGGAAGCCCUCACGGGUGUAAACCAAUCGAACGCGGGGAACAGAACUCGGCUUACAGGCGGCCUUGCGUC
rnacentral:RNase_P_RNA from 1 species